rnacentral:rRNA from 1 species
GACGAACGCUGGCGGCGUGCUUAACACAUGCAAGUCGAACGGAAAGGCCCUGUUCUUGUGGGGUGCUCGAGUGGCGAACGGGUGAGUAACACGCGAGUAACCUGCCCUUGAUCUAGGGAUAAUGUCAGGAAACUGGGGCUAAUACCGGCUAGGAGCUCCUGCCGCACGGUGGGGGUUGGAAAGCUUCGGCGGUUGGGGAUGGACUCGCGGGUUAUCAGCUUGUUGGUGGGGUAGUGGCCUACCAAGGCUUUGACGGCUAGCCGGCCUGAGGGGGAGGCCGGCUACGUUGGGGCUGGGGGACGCCCAAGACUCGUACCGAAGGAAGUGGUGGGGAGCAUUGCACAAUGGGCCCACGCCAGAUGCAGCCACGCCGGGUGCGGGGUGCCGGCCUUCGGGUUGUAAACCGCUUUCUCAUGUGCCGAGGCGCGAGUGACGGUAGCGGGUAAAGAAGGACCGGCUAACUACGUG